GGGGAUGAGGAGUAUCAGAGAGGCCUCAAGACCAGGUAUACUGAUCUUAAAAGAACUCCUCAAAAAACUAUCUGCAUACAAAUCUAUGGCUCUCCAAAUUUUUCCUCGGAAACCCUAAGACUCUGCCUAUAGGGAAGGACACAGUAUAGUCACCUUAGAAGAUAUUUCUCAUGAUCAAAUUUAUAAAAGUGCAAAUAACAAUUAAAAGAAAUUUUCAGGUUUUUUGCAUGUCUGACACCCAUGGCUCCACCUGGACCCGCCAACCUCUGCUCCUAUGGCCCCACUCAGAAGCAAGUGAGUUCAAGAGGACAACUUUGACCCCCUAUGAUUUUAUCUCUGCCCCAACCAAUCAGCAGCAAGCACCCAUUUCUACCCACCCACAUCCCUUCCUCCAAACUGUCUUUGAA
rnacentral:lncRNA from 1 species